GGAAGGGUGGCUCAGUGGUAGAGCAGUUCGGCAGCAGCCGUCGUACGGUUGUGCCGACCUACGGCUUCGCGUGGUUCGAUUCCCGCCCCUUCCA
rnacentral:tRNA from 1 species